rnacentral:pre_miRNA from 1 species
CAACUACUCCCUCUGUCCCAAAUUUCUUGUCUUAGAUUUGUCUAGAUACGGAUGUAUCUAAUACUAAAAUGUGACUUGAUACAUCCGUAUCUAGACAAAUCUAAGACAAGAAUUUUGGGACGGAUGGAGUACUUU